rnacentral:lncRNA from 1 species
UUUUUUUUUUUGAUGGGGAAUUGUCAAACUCAUUGAAGAAGAUAAGGUUUCUGAAAUAAAGAACAUAUCCUGAGAAUAACAGAAAACAGAAAACUGCAGAACAUUAGGGACACUUAAGUGUCUACUUAAUGAUGAUAAAUUCAGUACUGGAGAGUUAGGAGCACAGGCUGGAGGGUAGUGUAGAGGCUAAGUGGAUUGAGGAGUUACAAGAGAAUUUGGAUUUAAACCAGAAUUUGGGAAUGGAAGUCAAGGGUGAGCUUGUCAAAAGCACUGAGAAGAUGGUAGGACAAAUUUGCAUUAUUAUUAUUGUUUUUUAAAUCACUGGGAGAAUUACCCUUGCCUCUGAAACCCUAUCAUAUAUAUGAGUUGUCCUGAAAGAUAAACUUGCUGUAGUCAUUUUAGGGAACAGAGAAGUUAGGGGAGUGAGGAUAGGUCAGAAAGCUAGUAAACAUAUUGAUUUGUUUCAUUAUUCUCUCUUCCUCUCUUAACCCUGGAUCCCUUCUCCCAUUUCUACCCUCUUACUGCUACCCUUGUUCUGUUGAUUACUUUGCACCCUCUCUUUAAAGCAACAUGAUCAUCCACUGCAACCAGAGGUAACUUAAAGCCCAGAGAUAAUGGAAUCAGAGAAAAACCCAAAAAGUGUUGAGUUGGUGCCAUUAUGUAUGUGCCUAAUGAACUCUUAUACUUAACCCAGUGAGGAAAAUGGGUCCAUUUUAUAGAUGAGGAAACAAGCCAUAGUUGUCCUUCAGCUUAGUAGGGGCAUUGGAGGCAGUGGACUUCAAGUAAUAGGUAAUACUAUGCAGGGCUUCUACCUGUUAAGGUUGCAUCAGUCGGGGUAGGUUGCAAAUGGUAAUCAUUAAAAGGUGGCCUGUGAUAACGCAGAAAACUGUUGAGAGACGAAUUGGGUUUGACAGCGUAGAAGCAUAACAUACUUAACUUUUUUACUUUUUUGAUUCCAUAGCACUUUAUCUGUCUCUAUUAUAAUUCACCAUAUCAUGUUGCAAUUAUAUAUGUUUUUCUAUUUCUGUUACUAGGUUGUGAGGUCUUCAGUGGCCAGAGAUCCAGAGCUAGUGUCCUGGAUCUUGUCUUUAUGCUUUUGGGACCUAGCCAGUGGCCACAUGAUAGGAGCUUUGUAAAUCUUGUCAAAUUAAUCACUGUAAUAUGCUUACAAAGUACGUUUAACAGGCAAUAGAAAUAAUGGAGUAUGUAAAACCUCUGCAGGAAAUGUCAUUAGGUGCUUUACAUUGAAUCUUCAGACCAAUCCAAGUCCUUUUUUUACAAUUGAGGAAACUACUUGCUCAAGGUCACAUAGGUACUAAGUGGCAGAACUAUUCCAAUUGUAAAACCUAUACUCUUUACUAUGCUUUGCAACUGUUUCAGUGCAGCCGUUGUGGGCAUCAGCAGCAAAAUCAUCCAUUCCUAAGUCGAGAGACACUGAUUGGCAGAACUUUUUCUUUUAAUGGCUGCACCUGCGACACAUGGAAGUUCUUGGGCUAGGGAUUGAAUCCCAGGCAGCAGCUGUGACCUGUGCUGCAGCUGUGGUGACAUCCAAUCCUUUAACCCACUGCACUGGACCAGGGAUUGAAUCCAUGCCUUUACAGCUACCUGAGUCACUGCAGUUAUGUUCUUAACCCACUGCACCAUGGUGGGAACUCCUGAUUGGCAGAACUUCUGAAAUAAUCUCAUGUCUUUUGAAAUGGAAUUCUUUUUUUUUCUUUUUUUAGGGCCACACCUGUGGCAUAUGGAAAUUCCCAGGAUAGGGGUUGAAUCAGAGCUGCAGUUGCUGGCCUAUGCUACAGCCAUAGCCAUUUGGGUUCUGAGCCACAUCUGUGACCUACACCACAGCUCACAGCAACACCACUGAGCAAGGCCAGAAAUUGGACCUGAGUCCUCCUGGGUACUAAUCGGGUUUGCAACCCACUGAGCCACAAUGGGAACAACUCCCAACAUGGAAUUCUUUCAAUGUUGUAUGUGAACCAUUUUUAAUCAUGGGGUGGGAGGAGGAGGAGGCUCCAUCUUUGCAAACUUAACAAUCAAAGCAUUUCUGUUCAUAUACCUUUCAUACUCUGCUAGUUAGUGAAUAUUUUGACGAAUGAUGUGAUCCCUUCCUAUAGUUAUAAUCUGUUUCAUCUGCCUAACAUUUCACUGAAACAAAGCUCUUCUUUGAGAAUAGAGUUUAGCACUAAUUUAGUAUGUAAAAGUAACACAAAUAGGUUGUUUUUCACCUACUAAAGCUGUAAAUAAAAACAGGCAUUAAGUGGUUACCUCCAUAUUUCUUACCACAUCAGAGUUUGAGUGAGUCAAAUAUAGAAUUACCCGUUUGUUAUAUUUCAAAGAGAGUGAGUUAUUCUGAGUUUUCUGAUUAAAUUAAACCCGUUUGAAUGGCAGUGGGGCUUAUAUGAUCUCUUUCCUGAGGGAAUUUUCAGUAGAAAUAGGGAAAUAAAGAGGUAUGCAAAUAACUAGUGCAAAACUGAACAUGGUACUCUAGGACACAGUGCCAUGAAGAUACUUUUUUUGGCAACUUCUAAAAAUUGUGGUCAAAAGUUACAAUUUUAACCAUUUUUAAAUGUACAGUUCAUUGUCAUUAAGUACAUCCACACUGUUCUGCAGUGAGGAUUUCUACAAAGGAAAAAUCAUAUACAGUUAGGAGAAUCAUGGAAUGCUUAUUAAUAAGUGCUUUCAAAAUGAGCCUAGGAGGAAAGGUGAAUCUUGGUGGAGGGAGUUUGAGAAUCCUGUGAGCAAACAAAUAGAGGUGGGGAGAAAGAGACUUCAGGGAACAGCAAUUAGUAGCAUUAUUUAACUAAACAAGAGCAAUCCCAAAGAACAUUUAUAGAAAUAAUUUAUAAGUAUAAAGACAUAUUUAAUAAAUAAGGAAUUGAUUAAGAAUAGUAUAAAUUUUUAGAAUAAAUGCUAAAUGAAUUUUCCACAGAUAAAAGUAGACUUGGUCUUUGUUAUUCAUGAAGUUUUCUAGCCAGCAAAAGAUUUGUAAUUUAAACAAUAAAUGCUAUUUGAUUAUGGAGCUAUGCUCUAAAAUAAUUUAAUCUCAGAGAUUGCCAGUUUACUCACACUACACAUUAAAUAUUAUUAUCGGUGGUUUUGUAUGGCUCAGAGAAGUCAAGCUGACAGUGAAGUACCAAGUCACACUAAUCGUCUCAUCCUAUUAGAAAGUAACUGGUACAUAAGAAUUGUCACUUCACAAAGUGAUGCAAGACAGUACUGCUUUGCCUGAGACUUGACUUUGUAAUCUAAAAUGGUACUAAAUUAUAAGGUUUUUUUUUCAUUUUAUUUAAAAAUAAACAAGUUAUUUUAAAGCAGAUUAAUAGUUGUCUAAAGGAGUUAGUAUGCCAGUGUAAAGAUAGUGGUGAAACAGUUAAGGACAAAGCCAGUCUUACAGUGCUUUUUCUUCUGACUUAAGUUUAAAGCAUAAAUAUUAUAAUAAUAAAGAUCAAAUUUAACCUCAUAAAAAUAAAAAAUCUGUAAUACAAAAAGUAAUGCAAAUAUGAGCAGUGAUUAAUAUAAAACAUUUUAAACACAUUUAACAGUUGGAGGAUUACUAUCUAAAAUAUGUGAGUAGCUUUUAUGUAAAAGACCUCUCCAGUAAUAAACUUAACAAAUACUAAGAAAAUUAACAGAAGAAAAAUGCAAAUAAUUACCAAACAUGGGAAAAAAGUCACUAACCUAUCCAAUAAUCAGAGAAUAAAAACCAGCAUUAACUUUUGAGGCGGCAUCCAUCAGAUUCCACAAAAUUUUUAAAAUUAAUUAAUUAAUUUAAUUUUUUUCUGCUGUACAGCAUGGGGACUAAAUUACACAUACAUGUAUAUAUACCUUUUCCUCCCAUUGUUGUAUUGCUAUGUAAGUAUCUAGACAUGGUUCUCAAUGCUACACACUACACAGCAGGAUCUCAUUAUAAAUCCAUUCCAAGAGCAGUAGUUUGUAUCCAUUAACCCCAAGCUCCCCAUCCCUCCCACUCCCUCCCUCUCCCCCCAGGCAGCCACAAGUCUAUGACUUUCUUUUCUGUGGAAAUGUUCAUUUGUGCUGUAUAUUAGAUUCCAGUUAUAAGUGAUAUCAUAUGGUAUUUAUCCUUCUCUUUCUGACUUAUUUCAGUAUGAGAGUCUCUAGUUCCAUCCAUGCUGCUGCAAAUGGCAUUAUGUUGUUCUUUUUUAUGGCUGGGUAGUAUUCCAUUGUGUAUAUAUACCACAUCUUCCUAAUCCAAUUGUCUGUUGAUGGACAUUUGGGUUGUUUCCAGCUCUUGGCUAUUGUGAAUAGAGCUGCAAUGAACAUGCGGGUGCAUGUGUCUUUUUUAAGGAAAGUUUUGUACGGAUAUAUGCCCAAGAGUGGGAUUGCUAGAUUCCACAAAAUUUGGUAAGAUUCAAAAAUUGAUAAUAGGGAGUUCCCGUCGUGGCGCAGUGGUUAACGAAUCCAACUAGGAACCAUGAGGUUGCGGGUUCGGUCCCUGCCCUUGCUCAGUGGGUUAAGGAUCCGGCGUUGCCGUGAGCUGUGGUGUAGGUUGCAGAUGUGGCUCGGAUCCCGCAUUGCUGUGGCUCUGGUGUAGGCCGGUGGCUACAGCUCCGAUUCAGCCCCUAGCCUGGGAACCUCCAUAUGCCGCAGGAGCGGCCCAAAGAAAU